rnacentral:rRNA from 1 species
CCUACGGGGGGCUGCAGUGAGGAAUAUUGGUCAAUGGGCGCGAGCCUGAACCAGCCAAGUAGCGUGAAGGAUGACUGCCCUACGGGUUGUAAACUUCUUUUAUAAAGGAAUAAAGUGAGGCACGUGUGCCUUUUUGUAUGUACUUUAUGAAUAAGGAUCGGCUAACUCCGUGCCAGCAGCCGCGGUAAUACGGAGGAUCCGAGCGUUAUCCGGAUUUAUUGGGUUUAAAGGGAGCGUAGAUGGGUUGUUAAGUCAGUUGUGAAAGUUUGCGGCUCAACCGUAAAAUUGCAAUUGAUACUGGCAGCCUUGAGUGGAGUUGAGGUAGGCGGAAUUCGUGGUGUAGCGGUGAAAUGCUUAGAGAUCACGAAGAACUCCGAUUGCGAAGGUAGCUUACUAAGCUGCCACUGACAUUGAUGCACGAAAGUGUGGGUAUCAAACAGGAUUAGAUACCCUUGUAGUC